AUGCUUCUCACUGCAACAACACCAACCGGCAACUGCAAGCCACCACCAACAUCACGGAAAACAAUCAAAUCCCGCCGCCAAACAGCCAGACACCGUCGAUUCCAUGAUCGCGCCUCCCCUGCUCCAGUCGGACGACGACGAAGCCUCCGCACACAGUCCUCGUCGGUGCAUAUCCCAUCCGCCGCCGAUAACCAAAGAUCCACCUUCUCAACACCUUCCAACCAUCUAAUGAAAACUAAUAAUGGCGACUCUUGA